UUAAGAAAAAAUUAUGAAUGAUCGGUACUCGUUUGAAUACUAUCAUUAUAAGCAAAUUUCAAGGGUGUUAAGUAUUCAUUAUAAUUAUUAUGAUGAACCGCUACAAAUGCCUACAGUAUUUAUUCCAAGAUUCAAAUUACAUACUCUAUGUGGUCAUCUGUUUGAAGAUAGAAGGCUGUAGAUAUGACAAGUCAUGUGCCUAGUAGUUUGAACAAGGCUUGACAAAA
rnacentral:lncRNA from 1 species